rnacentral:tRNA from 1 species
GGGCGUAUAGCUCAGUUGGUUAGAGCACAGUCCUGAUAAGACUGAGGUCCCAAGUUCGAGACUUGGUACGCCCACCA